UACAGAGGUCCCAAGCGUUGUUCGGAUUCAUUGGGCGUAAAGGGUGCGUAGGCGGUAUUGCAAGUCGAAUGUGAAAUCUCGGGGCUCAACCCCGAAACUGCAUUCGAUACUGCAGAACUCGAGGACUGUAGAGGAGAAUGGAAUUCACGGUGUAGCAGUGAAAUGCGUAGAUAUCGUGAGGAAGACCAGUGGCGAAGGCGAUUCUCUGGGCAGUUCCUGACGCUGAGGCACGAAGGCUAGGGUAGCGAACGGG
rnacentral:rRNA from 1 species